GAUGAACGCUGGCGGCGUGCCUAAUACAUGCAAGUCGAGCGAACAGACGAGGAGCUUGCUCCUCUGACGUUAGCGGCGGACGGGUGAGUAACACGUGGAUAACCUACCUAUAAGACUGGGAUAACUUCGGGAAACCGGAGCUAAUACCGGAUAAUAUAUUGAACCGCAUGGUUCAAUAGUGAAAGACGGUUUUGCUGUCACUUAUAGAUGGAUCCGCGCCGCAUUAGCUAGUUGGUAAGGUAACGGCUUACCAAGGCAACGAUGCGUAGCCGACCUGAGAGGGUGAUCGGCCAGACUGGAACUGAGGCACGGUCCAGACUCCUACGGGAGGAAGCAGUAGGGAAUCUUCCGCAAUGGGCGAAAGCCUGACGGAGCAACGCCGCGUGAGUGAUGAAGGUCUUCGGAUCGUAAAACUCUGUUAUUAGGGAAGAACAAAAGUGUAAGUAACUGUGCACGUCUUGACGGUACCUAAUCAGAAAGCCACGGCUAACUACGUG
rnacentral:rRNA from 1 species